rnacentral:miRNA from 1 species
UGAAUUUGGGUGGAUGUGUGUGUACAUGUACAGAUGUGGAUAUACAUUUUAAUAUUAUAUAUGUGCACACACAGAGA